AUGGCGGCGGUCGCAGCUCGCGCCGGUGCAGCACGGGUCGGGUUCCGGCGGAUGUUCUCCGUCUCCGCCUUCGCUCCCCCGCCUCCCCCCACCGCUCGCCCCGCGGCGGAGCCCUGCAACAACCUCUUCGUCUCAGGUUUGAAUAAGCGGACGACAUCUGACGGACUGAGGGAAGCCUUCUCGAAAUUUGGCCAGGUUACUGACGCAAGAGUCAUCACUGAUAGAAUAUCUGGAUACUCUAGAGGGUUUGGCUUUGUGAAAUAUGCAACCGUAGAAGAAGCCGGUGAGGGCAUAAAAGGCAUGGAUGGAAAGUUCCUUGAUGGUUGGGUGAUAUUCGCGGAGUACGCCAAGCAGAGAGAAGCCCAGCAGCUGCCACAAUCAGCUGGGACACAGUCAUCUGGCUACCAAUACCCUAGCUAG
rnacentral:rRNA from 1 species